rnacentral:lncRNA from 1 species
UGAAGAGAGUUUUAAAGUUUGUUCCUCUGUCCUGUAUUUCACAAUGGAUGAAUUGUUCAUCUGUUUUCAAGAUUGUCACUUCACUGCUUUGGUUCCACAUAAGCCAAAUUCUGUCAUUGGAGUGUUCAUUGUAAUUACAACAGUUCCUCCAUUCUCCAUAGACCUUGUUAAGUAUUCUACCAACUUUUGCUUCCUUCACCCUUGUUUCUAAACAACCCAAGACAUCAACCUUGUGCUUCCUCAGAAAGAGUGUUAACUCUUUCUGUUUGAAGGCCUUGUU